rnacentral:rRNA from 1 species
UACGUAGGGUGCGAGCGUUGUCCGGAAUCAUUGGGCGUAAAGCGCGCGUAGGCGGCCCGGUAAGUCCGUUGUGAAAGUCAAAGGCUCAACCUUUGAACGCCGAUGGAUACUGCCGGGCUAGAGUCCGGAAGAGGCGAGUGGAAUUCCUGGUGUAGCGGUGGAAUGCGCAGAUAUCAGGAGGAACACCGGUGGCGAAGGCGGGUCUCUGGGCCGAUACUGACGCUGAGGAGCGAAAGCGUGGGGAGCAAACAGG